GGGGGUAUAACUCAGUGGUAGAGUGCUCGCUUUGCAUGCGAGAAGCCGUGGGUUCAAUCCCCACUGCCUCCA